rnacentral:rRNA from 1 species
ACGGGGUGCAGCAGGCGCGAAAACUGGCCAAUGCGCGAAAGCGUGAGCCGGUCAAUCCGAGUGUAGACCCAUCGGUUUACUUUUAUUAUGUAUACAACGCAUGGUGAAUAACGAGAGGGCAAGACUGGUGCCAGCCGCCGCGGUAAAACCAGCUCUUGGAGUGGUGAUCAUGAUUAUUUGGCUUAAAGUGUGCGUAGCAGGACAGCGUAAGUCCCCUGUGAAAUGCUAGGUCUUAAGCUUAGCACGUGCAGGGGAUACUGCGCGUCUUGGGACCGGGAUAGGUGUAUUGUACGCGACGGGUAGGGGUGAAAUCCGAUAAUCCAUCGCGGACAACCGGUGGCGAAGGCGAUACACUGGAACGGGUCCGACUGUGAGGCACGAAAGCUAGGGUCGCGAGCCGGAUUAGAUACCCGGGUAGUCCUAUGCUGUAAACGAUGCUCAUUAAGUGUUAGGUAACGCAAGACGUUCCCUAGUGCCGAAGCGAAAGCGUUAAAUGAGCCGCCUGGGAAGUACGUUCGCAAGAAUGAAACUUAAAGGAAUUGGCGGGGGCCUACUACAAGAAGUGGAGCCUGCGGUUUAAUUGGACUCAACUCCGGGAAACUCACCUGGGCCGUAACGUGGAUGAUUGUCCUGCUGAAGACACUGCUUGAUGCGUUACUGGAGGUGCAUGGCCAUCGUCAGUUCGUGCCGUGAGGUGUCCUGUUAAGUCAG